rnacentral:rRNA from 1 species
AUUGAACGCUGGCGGCAUGCCUUACACAUGCAAGCCGAACGGUAACGGGCCUUCGGGUGCCGACGAGUGGCGAACGGGUGAGUAAUGUAUCGGAACGUACCUUUCAGUGGGGGAUAACGUAGCGAAAGUUACGCUAAUACCGCAUAUUCUGUGAGCAGGAAAGCAGGGGGUCGCAAGACCUUGCGCUGAUUGAGCGGCCGAUAUCAGUUUAGCUAGUUGGUGAGGUAAAGGCUCACCAAGGCGACGAUCUGUAGCGGGUCUGAGCGGAUGAUCCGCCACACUGGAACUGAGACACGGUCCAGACUCCUACGGGAGGCAGCAGUGGGGAAUUUUGGACAAUGGGGGCAACCCUGAUCCAGCCAUGCCGCGUGAGUGAAGAAGGCCUUCGGGUUGUAAAGCUCUUUCGGCCGGGAAGAAAUCGUAUCAGCUAAUACCUGGUGCGGAUGACGGUACCGGCAUAAGAAGCACCGGCUAACUACGUGCCAGCCGCCGCCGUAAAAC